rnacentral:rRNA from 1 species
AUUGAACGCUGGCGGCAGGCCUAACACAUGCAAGUCGAGCGGUAGAGAGGUGCUUGCACCUCUUGAGAGCGGCGGACGGGUGAGUAAUACCUAGGAAUCUGCCUGGUAGUGGGGGAUAACGUUCGGAAACGGACGCUAAUACCGCAUACGUCCUACGGGAGAAAGCAGGGGACCUUCGGGCCUUGCGCUAUCAGAUGAGCCUAGGUCGGAUUAGCUAGUUGGUGAGGUAAUGGCUCACCAAGGCUACGAUCCGUAACUGGUCUGAGAGGAUGAUCAGUCACACUGGAACUGAGACACGGUCCAGACUCCUACGGGAGGCAGCAGUGGGGAAGUAUUGGACAAUGGGCGAAAGCCUGAUCCAGCCAUGCCGCGUGUGUGAAGAAGGUCUUCGGAUUGUAAAGCACUUUAAGUUGGGAGGAAGGGCAUUAACCUAAUACGUUAGUGUUUUGACGUUAACCGACAGAAUAAGCACGGCUAACUCUGUGCC